GACGAACCGUGCGAACGUUAUUCGGAAUCAUCUGGGCGUUAAAGCGCGUGGUAGGCGGGCCGGCACGAUCGGGUCGCUGAAAUCCCCCGGCUCAACCGGGGAACGGGCGCCGAAACGACCGGCCUGGAGGGGGGUAGGGGGAGCCGGAACUCACGGUGGAGCGGUGAAAUGCGUUGAGAAUCGUGAGGAACGCCCGCGGCGAAAGCGGGCUCCUGGGCCCCGCCUGACGGCUGAGCACGCGAAAGCCAGGGGAGACGAACGGGG
rnacentral:rRNA from 1 species